UACAGAGGGGGCGAGCGUUGUUCGGAAUUACUGGGCGUAAAGGGCGCGUAGGCGGCCUCUUAAGUCGAACGUGAAAUCCCCGGGCUCAACCCGGGAACUGCGUCCGAUACUGGGAGGCUUGAAUCCGGGAGAGGGAUGUGGAAUUCCAGGUGUAGCGGUGAAAUGCGUAGAUAUCUGGAGGAACACCGGUGGCGAAGGCGGCAUUCUGGACCAUAACUGACACUGAGAGACGAAAGCCAGGGGAGCAAACGGG
rnacentral:rRNA from 1 species